AGCGCACACAAAAGCUCAUGUCGCAUUGUGCCAAGAGCCAUCUGCCUCCCCAACAAUACGGCCAAAUUAUCCUCUCUGUCUUUACUUCACAAAGCAGCCCUAUUUUAUUAUUGCUCGUACGGUGCAUACGAUUGAAAUUACUAGGGGGUUUUUGUUCGGCAUCAUAGUUAUUACUCUGUAGUUGUGGAGACGGGCUGUCUCCGCUCUUUGUGUACUAGUCCUUUUUGGAGGAAGCUUGAGAAGAAAUAGGCGUAAAAGGCAACCUUUCAACCAGAGUGGGGGAACGCUUUCAAGAUGCUGCGGGCCGUACACAAAACCUUGUCGGCGCCGAGCGGGCUGAGUUUGCCAGGCGGGAGGCAGGGCGGUGUGCGCGGGGGAGGGUCCGUUCGGCAGGCCGGUAGCUCCAGGUGAACAUAAUGCAAGAAGAUGUGGUCAUUCGGUGCCACCUUAAAGGAUGUACAUCUGACAGAAUUCGAACAAACGAACUGAUGGCAAUGACGUCACUCAACGGUCAACCAAUCAGAUGAGAGAUUGCAUGUACCGGCAUUUUUGACUCCGGCAAGGAACUUCAUACAACCUGAAUGGAAGUUACUGAAGGUUGGUGCCCUCGGGGUCAGGAGACGAUGGAUCGGGUGAAUUCACCGUGGCGGUGGAAAUUAUUCCUCGGCUCCACCCACUUCCCUGCGCCGCCGGACUCCCCGCCGCGGCCCGGUCCCGCCCCGUGCAGGUGAGAAGAAUGGGAACAAAGGACGCGGAGAAACCACGGCGAGCAGGGCCGGACGGACACACCGAAAGGGUCGUCACGCCGAGUUACCGGGAACACAGGCUGAUGCUCACUCUUCCAUCCGACUUUUCUACCCCCAUGGUCUCAAACAGCCUGUAAUGUACAGAAAUGCAUCUAAUUAUAUCAUACUCAUUUGGAGAAGACAUACCAACGCUGGGGAGCGUUGAAAAUUUUAUGCAAAUUCAUCAAACUCUCAGAAGAAGCUACAUUGUCUUGGAAGCCAAAACCAAGAGCCGAGAAAAUAAAGUAAAAAGUGAUUUUAUA